UUUUAGCUGUUUUACAUCUGAACAGUGUAUCUGGGGUCACUUUUAGGCACACAAUUGCCUUUAUGUUGAGAGGGUCUAACAUUUCAUUUACUAGUCGUACUCACUGUGGGAAAACUCCUGUCCUGAAGGAGUCCACCAUUUGCCUUUUUUUUUCCUAGAUGUGGUGGAGCAUAUCUUUACAAAAAUAAAGAUUUUGUAAAACAGAUGUUGCUCAGUGGUUUAGUGCUAAUAUUUGAGCUAAUUGUGUGAAAAUGAUUGGGAAAUAAGAUUGUGUCUUCCAUUCAGAUGGAUAGAGAGUUCUUAAAAAUAAAUUUCCAAAGGGAUUUGUUGAGACUAUCCCUGUAUCUUCCUGCACCAGUGAAGAGUACUAGUUUGACUUAGUAAGAAAGACUGAAUUGCAGUGCCAAAAUCAGUAGCUCUGCUCACCUUGAGUUGUGGCUGUCCAAAGGACAGUUCUCUGCAGGCACAGCUACACAGAGUUUGGCUUCCCGGCGCUGCUGAAAACGUCCUAGAAUCCCACCUGACUGGAGGUUGCUUUCCACGCUUAGUCAGAAGUUCUGUGAAACCUUAGUUGAAAUAAUCCACAGGUAAAUCUUUGUCUACGGGAGAAAGCUCAAAAUAAACAAAAGAGAGAGCAGCUGGAACACUUGUGGAAGGACAUGGGCAGCGUGUGUGUGCAGGGCAGCACAGUGGCAGGUACCUCCCCAGGAAGAUAAAGUUUACUGCAGAAGUUUUCUGAAGAGUUUGCCUUGUGAAGUAGUACAGUGCUUCUUUGUCCUCACAGCAGAAGUGUGAAAGCAGCUCCAUGUUAGAGGAGCGGGGCUUUAGUUCCUGUGGGGUUGGUCACACUCAGCUCUUCCUGUGUCAGUCACAGGUUUGGAAGAAACCCUGCUGUGUAGCUAAAGCAGUGGACCUACUAGAAAUAAUGAAAUACUUUAGAAAAGGUGAAACAGUCAGAUCAGAAUAUGAGAAAGCUCUGCUGUUGGCUGCACUGUUCCUUAGAUGAGGCGAGUAGGUGCUGAUGGAGUCUGUCCUGUGUCUGGGAUCCACAAGCAGCUUUCUGUCCCCUUAGAGCAGGUGUUCAGUGCUGGGUUUCUGUGCAGAUAGAAACCUUACCUUUAGCAAGCUGGUUGGUGUACAGCUGUUUCUGUUCCCUUCAAGGACCUGAUGCUUCUGCAAUGGGUCCCUCUGAGCUAAUACUAACACGAGGAACUCUCGAUGAAGAGCAAGAAGAGAGGGAGAGUGACGCUGAUGGCAUUGACCAUGAAGGUAAGGGAAUGAGGUCUAAAAGCUGCCUCUCAAGAAAUCCCCUCUAUAUUUCAUGUCCUGGAUGGACUGUAAGGAGAGCCUAGAAAACAAGCAAACAUUCAGUCACCUGACGUGUCAGAAUCUGUAGCAGAAGCUCAGCUGCAAUGGUCAGUGCAGGGAUAUCACUCUGUAACCUUUGUGAAAGUUCAAUUGUAAAUUUUCUAUUCAAGUAAUUAAUAGGUGUAUAAUACACAUAGACCAGAGAACUCGUUAGGCUUGGGGCAUGCAGUGACCUCUGAACCUGAUUGAUGCACAGAUGUGUCCAUCAUCUUUUUGGCCUUACAGUUUCUGCCCCUGGCUCUCUUCCCUUUUCCUGUGACUGUGGUCUUGGAGCAAUCUUCUAAGUUGUUACAGUGUGAUUUUUCUCUUCUAUAGCUCACAGACUUAAUCUUCAUUCUUUCCCUGUUCCACUGAUGGGUAGGAUCACUUAUUUCCUUUGCCCUGUAAUGUAGCUGAAGAUGGAAUAGACUUUCUAUGUUGCUUUGGCUA